rnacentral:rRNA from 1 species
UGGGGAAUAUUGGACAAUGGGCGAAAGCCUGAUCCAGCCAUGCCGCGUGUGUGAAGAAGGUCUUCGGAUUGUAAAGCACUUUAAGUUGGGAGGAAGGGCAUUAACCUAAUACGUUAGUGUUUUGACGUUACCGACAGAAUAAGCACCGGCUAACUCUGUGCCAGCAGCCGCGGUAAUACAGAGGGUGCAAGCGUUAAUCGGAAUUACUGGGCGUAAAGCGCGCGUAGGUGGUUUGUUAAGUUGGAUGUGAAAUCCCCGGGCUCAACCUGGCAACUGCAUUCAAAACGGACUGACUAGAGUAUGGUAGAGGGUGGUGGAAUUUCCUGUGUAGCGGUGAAAUGAGUAGAUAUAGGAAGGAACACCAGUGGCGAAGGCGACCACCUGGACUAAUACUGACACUGAGGUGCGAAAGCGUGGGGAGCAAACA